GAUGAACGCUGGCGGCGUGCCUAAUACAUGCAAGUCGAGCGAACGGACGAGAAGCUUGCUUUUCUGAUGUUAGCGGCGGACGGGUGAGUAACACGUGGAUAACCUACCUAUAAGACUGGGAUAACUUCGGGAAACCGGAGCUAAUACCGGAUAAUAUUUUGAACCGCAUGGUUCAAAAGUGAAAGACGGUCUUGCUGUCACUUAUAGAUGGAUCCGCGCUGCAUUAGCUAGUUGGUAAGGUAACGGCCUACCAAGGCAACGAUGCAUAGCCGACCUGAGAGGGUGGUCGGCCACACUGGAACUGAGACACGGUCCAGACUCCUACGGGAGGCGGCAGUAGGGAAUCUUCCGCAAUGGGCGAAAGCCUGACGGAGCAACGCCGCGUGAGUGAUGAAGGUCUUCGGAUCGUAAAACUCUGUUAUUAGGGAAGAACAUAUGUGUAAGUAACUGUGCACAUCUUGACGGUACCUAAUCAGAAAGCCACGGCUAACUACGUG
rnacentral:rRNA from 1 species